GGGGCUUACACAUGCAAGUCGAGCGCACUCUUCGGAGUGAGCGGCGGACGGGUUAGUAACGCGUGGGAACGUGCCCUUCUCUAAGGAAUAGCCACUGGAAACGGUGAGUAAUACCUUAUACGCCCUUCGGGGGAAAGAUUUAUCGGAGAAGGAUCGGCCCGCGUUAGAUUAGAUAGUUGGUGGGGUAAUGGCCUACCAAGUCUACGAUCUAUAGCUGGUUUUAGAGGAUGAUCAGCAACACUGGGACUGAGACACGGCCCAGACUCCUACGGGAGGCAGCAGUGGGGAAUCUUGGACAAUGGGCGCAAGCCUGAUCCAGCCAUGCCGCGUGAGUGAUGAAGGCCUUAGGGUCGUAAAGCUCUUUCGCCAGAGAUGAUAAUGACAGUAUCUGGUAAAGAAACCCCGGCUAACUCCGUGCCAGCAGCCGCGGUAAUACGGAGGGGGUUAGCGUUGUUCGGAAUUACUGGGCGUAAAGCGCACGUAGGCGGAUCAGAAAGUAUAGGGUGAAAUCCCAGGGCUCAACCCUGGAACUGCCUUGUAAACUCCUGGUCUUGAGUUCGAGAGAGGUGAGUGGAAUUCCGAGUGUAGAGGUGAAAUUCGUAGAUAUUCGGAGGAACACCAGUGGCGAAGGCGGCUCACUGGCUCGAUACUGACGCUGAGGUGCGAAAGUGUGGGGAGCAAACAGGAUUAGAUACCCUGGUAGUC
rnacentral:rRNA from 1 species